AGUGCGACGACUUUUGCACCUUUAAAAGAACCACAUUUGCCCCAUUCUUUUCUCUCUCCCUUGCGCAUAUAAUAAACUUAUAUAUAAUAGACAGCUUGGGUGCCAAAAUAUUCGUAACCUUUUCAUUUUUCAAUAUCUGGGUUGACCAUAUUUUUGCACUGGAGCGCGUUCGAAUACAUCACUCGAGUGCACACUGGCCUGUAUACCGCUCACGGGUCGUGUGCACGCGGCUGCUCUUUUCGAAUCUGUAUUCAAUCGGUCGCAGAAUCAUCGAGGAGAGGAAUGCAGGACAAUUUACUUGGACGAAUAAAUUGGAUGGUGGUGCGUGUCGAGUUCGCGGGAAAAAGAUGAGGAACGUGAUCGAAAAAACUCCGCUCGCCCGGUCCUCGCAGAAUCGAUUUUUCCUUUGACUAAAGUAUUAAUUGCCAACGCGGAGUAAAAACAGCGCGGAUGACUUUGACGCUGGUAAAAGCACAAAGAAAAAGUAGAAAAUUGGAGCGAACGAAGUUCUUAUUCGUUCGUUCGGAGCCCGAUGCGUAUGCAAGAAAAUCGCAUUUCACAGAAAACUGAGAGAACGACACGUCGAUGGAUAUAGAAUGCACGAGAGAGAAUUUUGUCUGAUGCUCCAUCUUUGCAUAACAAUGAGAGAACGUCGACACUAGACGUUUUCGUGUUCUACUCAGCAUAGUGGAUCGAAAGACAUCCGAAUAUCCGAAAGAGUAUAGAGAAAUAAAAAGGACUUUUUCUUCAUUGGAAAUCGUAUCGGGAAUGAUGGGAGAGUAUUAAAAAAUCGAGGGCAAAAGCAGCUCCGAGAUAUUUUUCGACUGGAAAUUUCAUUCGAGAUCGUUCGACCUCUAUUGCAUUAUGGUCUUUUGAAAAGUUUCACUAAACAUUUCUCAGAGAUAAAAUCCUUUAAAUCCUACUGAUUUUUUACUUCGUCCGCGCACAUACAUGUAACUC